rnacentral:lncRNA from 1 species
UUUUACUGAGAUGUUUUACUGUUCUACUCACUGGGCUAUAGAGCUCAUCCCACUCCCUUAACCCCAGUUUUGCAGGUUCAGCAUUCAGUGUACAGUGUACAGGGACAGUCCAGCAGAGUACAAGAAAAGUAAAGAGAUUUGUAAUAGCUUAGAGUGGACAUGUAAUAUUAAAGAGAUGUAAUAGUUGUUGCUUGACCUAGUGAUGUAUGUGUUGUACAUGAUCUGUAUAUGUAUAUAUGUUUUCCUGUAUGUGAAAACCAGGCUUAACAGGUAUGAGUUAACCCAUCUAGUGCAAGCUCUAGUCAGGGAUACAG